UACCAGCACCCCGAGUGGUCGGGACGAUUAUUGGGCCUAAAGCAUCCGUAGCCGGUCAUGCAAGUCCUCCGUUAAAUCCAGCUGCUUAACAGAUGGGCUGCGGAGGAUACUAUAAGACUAGGAGGCAGGAGAGGCAAGCGGUACUCAGUGGGUAGGGGUAAAAUCCGUUGAUCCAUUGAAGACCACCAGUGGCGAAGGCGGCUUGCCAGAACGCACUCGACGGUGAGGGAUGAAAGCUGGGGGAGCAAACCGG
rnacentral:rRNA from 1 species